UCCAGACUCCUACGGGAGGCAGCAGUGGGGGAUAUUGCACAAUGGGGGCAACCCUGAUGCAGCGACGCCGCGUGAGCGAUGGAGUACUUCGGUAUGUAAAGCUCUGUCAGCAGGGAAGAAAAUGACGGUACCUGAAGAAGAAGCCCCGGCUAACUACGUGCCAGCAGCCGCGGUAAUACGUAGGGGGCAAGCGUUAUCCGGAUUUACUGGGUGUAAAGGGAGCGUAGACGGCUGUGCAAGCCAGAUGUGAAAGCCCGGGGCUCAACCCCGGGACUGCAUUUGGAACUGUGUGGCUGGAGUGUCGGAGAGGCAGGCGGAAUUCCUAGUGUAGCGGUGAAAUGCGUAGAUAUUAGGAGGAACACCAGUGGCGAAGGCGGCCUGCUGGACGAUGACUGACGUUGAGGCUCGAAAGCGUGGGGAACAAACAGGAUUAGAUACCCUUGUAUA
rnacentral:rRNA from 1 species